CUGAGCUCCACUCGUUUCGGAAGCUAAAGGCCCCGGGGUCAAAAAGGUAGGCUCUCAACAUCUCAGAGUCUUUACCUAAAGAAGCCUUUUUUGCGGGGGGGGGGGACGGGGGACGGGGCGAACCACCAGGGAAAACAAGGUUUCCAGACUGAGAAGCCCUAGCAGAACCUCCUCCUCUGCUUCCCUCCCCCAACAAGAGCGCAAACCCAAGUUGUGAUUCUUGGAGUACACAGCGGGUCCUGGCAUCUGCUGUUUCAUUCCUACACUCCAGAGAGGUGGCCUACGAAGGAGGCUGGACUAUGGCCAGACAGACGGGAGUGAUGCAGGAUCCGAACCACAGAACAGGUCACUCUGAGUUGACUCCCAAAACAAAGUCAGAUUUUUUUUGGUGGGGGGGGAGACAGGGGAGGCUAAGACUCAUUUUUAAAUGCCAUCUGAACCAACGUCAUCAGUCUCUUCCCGGCCUGACGCCCCGCUGGGGUGGAAGGUUCGGAUUACUGGGCACCCGGGCUAUUUUCGAGAACCAGAGAAAUGAGAAGUGACCCGAGGCCCCGAGGUCAACCGGCUCAGGUCCCCGCCCCCUGCCCACAAAAGCCGAAAGGGCCCGGGGAGGGGGCGGGGGCACCGGCUCAAGGCCACGGCCGCCGCCGGAGCCAAGGAGCUGAGUAAUCCUCAGGUGACUCGGGCCCGCCCCAAGGGGCCGCGGGGUCAACAGCCCGCUGGGGCCGGAUCCCCCCCCCCGGGCAGAGCCGGGCCCGCCCCCCCACACACACACACGGGGUCACCCCGCGGGGCCGGGGCCGGGCUCUGGCCCGGGAGGCCCGCAGCCGCCCCGCAGCCGCCCGCAGCCGGCCCGCCUCCAUCUUGAGGCGGCAGCGGAGGGAGAAGGACGAGGCCCCGGCGCCGGGAGCGUGGAGGGAGGGGGCGAGGAUGGGGCCUCGCUGCGGCGGCCUCGCCCGGAGGCCCGAGAAGGGGAGGGGACGGGGACGACGACGGGGAGGAGGAAGGAAGGAGGCCGCGGAGCCGCCGCCGGGCUCACCGGGACCGGACGCGCCGGGUCGAGAUGGGUCCUCGCCGCCGCCACCUGUCGGGCCGAGCUCUCCUGCCGCCGCCGCCGCCGCCGGGCCUCCCUCCCUCCCAGACUCAAGCGCUGCCUCAGCCCCGGCCCCGCUCGGCCGGUCGGUCAGUCAGUCAGUCACUGCAGCAGCAGCAGCAGCAGCAGCAGCCGCCGCCUCCGCGCGCCUCCAGCCGAGUCUCAGAGCCAAAAUGCUGUGUCCUGGGGAUAUGAUAACAGACUUUUAAUGGAGGCAGAAUGGGAAGGUGAGCGAAUCAGACUCCAAGACAACCAGGCCUGGAGCCUACAAUUGAGGGGAUCUAUAUGAUUAUAUCUCAUAUUCUUUUCCAGGGCUCUCCAAUCACAGUAGGAAUUAGUCAAGAGGAAUCAACCAGCUCAGCACUGUUAAAAAGGAGCUACCCAGCUUCUUUUCAGACUGAGGUUGAAUCCUUCUUACCCUUCCGGGACCAUCAGAAAAGGCAGAGGAGGAGAAAUCCCUUGAAACAAGCCCAGAGACUUACCCUGUUGAUUUCAGAAAAGCCUCUUUUAUCAGUGUCAGCCACUUGGACUGAAGCCCUGCUUAAUAUCCUUCCUUCCCUCUCUCCCUACGGGGCCUCCCUUGAAAGCCUUUGAAAGUGACAAGAGGGGAGGGAAGAAAACCCUCAGCCACAGCCUGGCUCAGAGCUGGAGCCACAGAAGGCAACCGGCAUUACACUCCCAUAGACCAUGGCGAUACCACCAGCUUCCCCGUUUCUGGGAGGAAUUUGCAGCUGUCAGCAAGCACCCAGGAUUUGCAACUCUCAAGUGGUGGAUAAGGGGAGCCUCCUGCUUCAUCCUGUGCCCCAGGAUGAAGGAAUAAUCAGGAAGGUGACCCUUCUUAAAGCACUGGGACUGCUCCCACCAAUUAGAGUCUGCUAGCGUAAGACUAAUAAAGACAAAAUGGGCAGAUAGAUGUGGGAAUGC
ensembl:lncRNA